AUAUUUAAUUUAAUUUUGUCAAUUAUUGUUUUAUUUAAUGUGUGAAUUAAUUUUAGCUGUAAUGUUUUGAUUUCAAUAAAUAAAAUUUAGGCAGGCCACAAUAUGAUGACUUGGAUGUUGAUGUAGACAUCGUAGAUCGAAAGUGAACUUUUCUAUUAUAUAGACGUAUUUUACUUAUUUUUUGCUUAAUUUAUGCUUACUUUUGGUCAAAUUAUUUUCUCUUUAUUAUUCAAAUUAUUUCAAUAAUCAUAACAUAUUGGUAGAUAUGUAGUCGCUAUAAAAAAUUUGGAUGUAAAUGUUAACUGAUGAAAUAAACUAGGCCUAAUUUGUGUGAAAGUAGAAACCUAUUAAUUGUGAAAGUUUGAAAUUCCAUAAUCUCGGUCGCAUAUUGAAUACUCAACAUAUAAUUUUGGUAGUGUUUGAAGAAUCAUAUUUGAGACAUAAUCAGGUAUAAUGAAUAAAAGCAGAUGACACAGCAAACGAGGAAGAUGUCAUCACUUGUCACAAAUCCAGUGCAUAGAUGGAUCAAGUGCAAUUCUGAUGAAGUAUAAAAACAUUAGAGAAAUACUCUGAAAUUGGAUGGAUACUCUAUGACGACCAGGUGGUGUUUGUAACAUCUUGCAUAGCGUUAAUCUUGAGCUAAAAACAGCUUUAGAAGCUGAAAGAUAGAUUUUUGGGGUCAGACUGAAAACUUUAAUUAAGUUAGGGUAAAUAUGUAAGGAAAAGGAAGUAAUGUGUAAUUUUAUA
rnacentral:sRNA from 1 species